rnacentral:rRNA from 1 species
CCUGCGGGAGGCAGCAGUGAGGAAUAUUGGACAAUGGGUGGAAGCCUGAUCCAGCCAUCCCGCGUGCAGGAAGACGGCCCUAUGGGUUGUAAACUGCUUUUAUCUGGGGAUAAACCUACUUACGUGUAAGUAGCUGAAGGUACCAGAAGAAUAAGCACCGGCUAACUCCGUGCCAGCAGCCGCGGUAAUACGGAGGGUGCAAGCGUUAUCCGGAUUUAUUGGGUUUAAAGGGUCCGUAGGCGGACUGAUAAGUCAGUGGUGAAAUCCGACAGCUUAACUGUCGAACUGCCAUUGAUACUGUUAGUCUUGAGUAAGGUUGAAGUGGCUGGAAUAAGUAGUGUAGCGGUGAAAUGCAUAGAUAUUACUUAGAACACCAAUUGCGAAGGCAGGUCACUAAGUCUUAACUGACGCUGAUGGACGAAAGCGUGGGGAGCGAACAGGAUUAGAAACCCCUGUAGUCCCAUGA